AGUGUAACUUUUUAUCACAUGUUUUGAAGAAGAAAAUAAUAAAAGCAAGCAAACUAUUCUGAUUAUUAAUGUAACCCAUGAAUAUUAUUUGCUAGAAAAACAUAGUGUUAUAUAUACAAAAAAGGUUAAAAAGUUCACCCAAGCUUUAAAGCAGCAAUUGAUCUACUAGGAAUGGGAGUAAAUAAUGAUCUAUAGGACUUGAUCGGUGCCCAUACAAGUUUCCUGCUAAUCAGUGGAAAGACAGUAUAAAAGAGUGGCCUCCUCUCCAAUGGCAUGAUCUUUAUCACUAAAGAUCUCCACUUAUGUAUUUUUUACUAUAGAUAGCAGCUAUAUGUACCUGACAAUAUAUUUUUUACUUUAUAAAGCUUAAACUAA